UUGUUUAAAAAUAAAAUUGAAAUUAAAUAUAAAAAUCAAUUUAUUAUAUAAAAAAUGAAAAAUAAAUCGUAAAAUCCAACACAAUUGUCCACGUAAUUCUUUUUUUGAAUCAAAAUAAUUAUUUAAAUUCAAAAGGCCACGAAAUAAAAGGUGAUAAAAAAAGAUCCAACUUAGGCCCAACGAAACAAGACAACCCCAAAAAACUAUAUGUUAACUCAUCAUCAAUAUAGCAAAUUUCUCUCUAAUCUUAGGAUACAUUCGUUCUCUAUAUACUAUAGUAUAUAUGAUUGUAUCUUUUAUACUAUCCUUAUUUACUUUGUUAUAAAAAAAAAUCCAUUCCUAUGCUUCCAAGUUUCGUAAACACAUUCUGCAGUUACACUCUUGAGAAAUCUAG
rnacentral:lncRNA from 1 species